GACGAACGCUGGCGGCGUGCCUAAUACAUGCAAGUAGAACGCUGAAGGACCAGCUUGCUGGUGUGGAUGAGUGGCGAACGGGUGAGUAAUACGUGAGUAACCUGCCCUUGACCGUGGGAUAAGCCCUGGAAACUGGGUCUAAUACUGCAUGCUACCAGUCAUCGCAUGGUGGUGUGUGGAAAGGGUUUACUGGUCUUGGAUGGGAUGACGGCCCAUCAGCUUGUUGGUGAGGUAAUGGCUCACCACGGCGACGGCAGGUAGCCGACCUGAGAGGGUGGACGGCGCCCCUGGGACUGAGAGAGGGCGCAGACGCCUACGGUAGGCAGCAGUGGGGAGUCUGACACAACAGGCGCGCGCCAGAUGCGGAGAUGCCGCGAUAGUGAAGACCGGUUUCAAGUUGAGAACCUGUGUCAGCAUGGAAGAAUCCACAAGUGACGGUACCUGCAGAAGAAGCGCCGGCUAACUACGUG
rnacentral:rRNA from 1 species